AGGUACGUGCCUCUCUUGUCCUGCCCGAGGGAUCAUGACGCGUACAUGCUGCUUCUCUUCCAGUUUUUUCCACUGUUCCAUCAGCGACUGUGCAAACAUAGGGCACAUGGCCACUCUUAUGCUGCGUUUUUUGAAGUUUUUUCCACUGUUCCAUCAGCGACUGUGCAAACAUAGGGCACAUGGCCACUCUUAUGCUGCGUUUUUUGAAGUUUUUUCCACUGUUCCAUCAGCGAUUGUGCAAACAUAGGGCACAUGGCCACUCUUAUGCUGCGUUUUUUGAAGUUUUUUCCACUGUUCCAUCAGCGACUGUGCAAACAUAGGGCACAUGGCCACUCUUAUGCUGCGUUUUUU